AUUGGGCUAUUCCAUUUAAUAUCCGUACCCCCCCCUGUCGAGGAUCCCUGGAAUUCUUCAGGGGUAAAGGGUUUUGAGCUUGGAAUUCUUCAGGGGUAAAGUGUUUUGAGCUUGGAAUUCUUCAGGGGUAAAUGGUUUUGAGCUUGGAAUUCUUCAGGUGUAAAGGGUUUUGAGCUUGGAAUUCUUCAGGUGUAAAGGGUUUUGAGCUUGGAAUUCUUCAGGGGUAAAGAGGUUUGAGAUUGAAAUUUUUCAGAGCUUGGAAUUCUUCAGGGGUGAAGGGGUUUGAGCUUGGAAUUCUUCAGGGGUAAAAGGUUUUGAGCUUGAAAUUCUUCAGGGGUAAAGGGUUUUGAGCUUGGAAUUCUUUAGGGGUGAAGGGUUUUGAGCUUGGAAUUCUUCAGGGGUAAAAGGUUUUGAGCUUGGAAUUCUUCAGGGGUAAAGGGUUUUGAGCUUGGAAUUUUGGAAUUCUUCAGGGGUAAAAGGUUUUGAGCUUGGAAUUCUUCAGGGGUAAAGAGUUUUGAGCUUGGAAUUUUGGAAUUCUUCAGGGGUAAACAGUUUUGAGCUUGGAAUUCUUCAGGGGUAUGACAAUGAAAAACAUGUAUCCUCGACAGGGGGGGUACGGAUAUUAAAUGGAAUAGCCCAUUAAGAAACACACAGCAUUACUUUAAUAAACUUAUUAAGCUUCCUAGCGUCUCAUAUAAACACUAUUCUGAUAUUUAUAUGCCAAUAACAAAAUGUAGAAUAACAAUGGUGCAGCAUUACCAUACAAGGUCACGAUAAGCUGUUGCCUAUAAUACUUAUAAUAAUAACACAACAAUCCAUGAUUUACCGUAAUUAAACAAGUUAAAAUAUAUCACUACCAGUAUCUUACAACAAUUCAAAAGUAU